AGUCAGUUAUAUAGUCAGUUAACCCUUCUGUUCAAUCAGUUAUAUAGUCAGUUAACCCUUCUGUUCAGUCAGUUAUAUAGUCAGUUAACCCUUCUGUUCAGUCAGUUAACCCUUCUGUUCUGUCAGUUAUAUAGUCAGUUAACCCUUCUGUUCAGUCAGUUAUAUAGUCAGUUAACCCUUCUGUUCAGUCAGUUAUAUAGUCAGUUAACCCUUCUGUUCAUUAUAUAGUCAGUUAACCCUUCUGUUCUGUCAGUUGUUACUCAGGGGCCUUUUUAGUAUGUUCUUGUGUAUUGUUGGGUUGUUUGUUAAAAACAGCUUGUAAUGUUUAUUUCAGAUACUACUUAUCUUUAUUGAUAUAUUAUACUUCUAUUUAGUAUGUAACGAGUAAAUGUGAAUCAAGACCUGUAAGUGAUGUCUAUCGAUGUGUGACAAAAUAAAAACCCUGUGCAUUGUA